rnacentral:rRNA from 1 species
GACGAACGCUGGCGGCGUGCUUAACACAUGCAAGUCGAACGGAAAGGCCCUGCUCUUGUGGGUUGCUCGUGUGGCGAACGGGUGAGUAACACGUGAGUAUCAUGUCCUUGACUUUCGGAUAACUUCUGGAAACUCGGGCUAAUACCGGAUAGAAUCUCCUGCUGCAUGGUGGGGGAUGGAAAGUGUCGGCGGUUGGGGAUGGACUCGCUGCUUAUCAGCUUGAUGGUGGGGUAGUGGCUGACCAAGGCUUUGACGGGUAGCCGGCCUGAGAGGGUGACCGGCCACAUUGGGACUGAGAUACGGCCCAGACUCCUACGGGCGGCAGCAGUGGGGAAUAAUGCGCAAUGGGCGGAAGCCAGAUGCAGCAACGCCGCGUGCGGGAUGACGGGCUUCGGGUUGUAAACAGAUUUCGACUGUGACGAAGAGUGCGUGACGGUAAUGGGUAAAGAAGCACCGGCUAACUACGUG